CCUACGGGAGGCAGCAGUGGGGAAUAUUGCACAAUGGGGGAAACCCUGAAGCAGCGACGCCGCGUGAGUGAAGAAGUAUUUCGGUAUGUAAAGCUCUAUCAGCAGGGAAGAAAAUGACGGUACCUGACUAAGAAGCCCCGGCUAACUACGUGCCAGCAGCCGCGGUAAUACGUAGGGGGCAAGCGUUAUCCGGAAUUACUGGGUGUAAAGGGAGCGUAGACGGCCAGACAAGUCAGAAGUGAAAGCCCAGGGCUCAACCCUGGGACUGCAUUUGAAACUGGCGGGCUGGACUGCAGGAGAGGGAAGCGGAAUUCCUAGUGUAGCGGUGAAAUGCGUAGAGAUCAGGAGGAAUACCAGUGGCGAAGGCGGCUUACUGGACUGUAACUGACGUUGAGGCUCGAAAGCGUGGGGAGCAAACAGGAUUAGAUACCCUUGUAGUC
rnacentral:rRNA from 1 species